rnacentral:rRNA from 1 species
AGAGUUUGAUCAUGGCUCAGGAUGAACGCUAGCGGCAGGCUUAACACAUGCAAGUCGAGGGGCAUCGGGAGGGAAGCUUGCUUUCCUUGCCGGCGACCGGCGCACGGGUGAGUAACACGUAUGCAACCUGCCCUCUUCAGGGGGACAACCUUCCGAAAGGGAGGCUAAUCCCGCGUAUAUCGGUUUCGGGCAUCCGAGAUCGAGGAAAGAUUCAUCGGAAGAGGAUGGGCAUGCGGCGCAUUAGCUAGACGGCGGGGUAACGGCCCACCGUGGCGACGAUGCGUAGGGGUUCUGAGAGGAAGGUCCCCCACACUGGUACUGAGACACGGACCAGACUCCUACGGGAGGCAGCAGUGAGGAAUAUUGGUCAAUGGGAGAGAUCCUGAACCAGCCAAGCCGCGUGAGGGAAGACGGCCCUAUGGGUUGUAAACCUCUUUUGUCGGAGAACAAAACCCGGGACGUGUCCCGGACUGCGUGUAUCCGAAGAAAAAGCAUCGGCUAACUCCGUGCCAGCAGCCGCGGUAAUACGGAGGAUGCGAGCGUUAUCCGGAUUUAUUGGGUUUAAAGGGUGCGUAGGCGGUCCGUUAAGUCAGCGGUAAAAUUGCGGGGCUCAACCCCGUCGAGCCGUUGAAACUGGCAGACUUGAGUUGGCGAGAAGUACGCGGAAUGCGCGGUGUAGCGGUGAAAUGCAUAGAUAUCGCGCAGAACUCCGAUUGCGAAGGCAGCGUACCGGCGCCAGACUGACGCUGAGGCACGAAAGCGUGGGGAUCGAACAGGAUUAGAUACCCUGGUAGUCCACGCAGUAAACGAUGAAUGCUGGUUGUCCGGGUCGAAUGAGAUCUGGGCGGCGAAGCGAAAGCGAUAAGCAUUCCACCUGGGGAGUACGCCGGCAACGGUGAAACUCAAAGGAAUUGACGGGGGCCCGCACAAGCGGAGGAACAUGUGGUUUAAUUCGAUGAUACGCGAGGAACCUUACCCGGGCUCAAACGGGAGUGGAAUGGACCAGAGACGGUUCAGCCUACGGGCCGCUUCCGAGGUGCUGCAUGGUUGUCGUCAGCUCGUGCCGUGAGGUGUCGGCUUAAGUGCCAUAACGAGCGCAACCCCCGCCGGCAGUUGCUAACGGGCAAUGCCGAGGACUCUGCCGGGACUGCCGCCGCAAGGCGUGAGGAAGGCGGGGAUGACGUCAAAUCAGCACGGCCCUUACGUCCGGGGCGACACACGUGUUACAAUGGGCGGUACAGCGGGAAGCCAGGCGGCGACGCCGAGCGGAACCCGAAAGCCGUUCUCAGUUCGGAUCGGAGUCUGCAACCCGACUCCGUGAAGCUGGAUUCGCUAGUAAUCGCGCAUCAGCCAUGGCGCGGUGAAUACGUUCCCGGGCCUUGCACACACCGCCCGUC